UCACUUCACACCUUCUACCCCACGAAAGGCAUGGCGCUCCACUUGUUCAUAGACGCAUCUAUUUCUAUUUGAGGCGGUUUUCCUCGUGAUUGCUGAGCGUCUGCUUUGUUGCGUUAAGAUUGCUGAUGAUGGGACUUUGCUCGUUAGUGGUAGAGAUCGAGCUACCUGGGGAUGGCGUCACUCCGUUGGCGCAGAGAAAAUUUGUUGGAGAAUUACCUUUCAAGGUGGCAUCCAUGCUUAUGAGCAAGUUGCCUUGCAAGACAUCAAUUUUUCCAGGGUUUAUAUGGUUUGUGCUCAGGGAAUAUACCUAUGAUAGUAUUUUGUUGUAUAGGAACUCAAUUUAUUUUAGCGUGGUUGUGGCAGUGUCAGCCAUGUGUUACGCGAGUCCUUUUGAGUGGGUUCUUGAUUCUCUGUGUGUUCCCUCCAUGCAACAGGGAAUUUUCACCGUUGGUGAACAAUUUGGCUAUCAGCCUGACCUACCGCUCUUGUAAUCGCAACUCUUGGCCUCCAUGCACUCCAUUUAGUUAGCAUGUUUGUUUUGGAGUUUAGUU